rnacentral:lncRNA from 1 species
AAAAAAUAAUAAAAUAAAAUAAACUCGGCAUAUAUGCAUAUAUACAUAUAUGUACAUGUACCUUUGUGCAAACAUAAGUAUAUGUUAAUUUUUUUUUUUUUUUUUAUGUAUAUUACUAUAUUGAAAAAAAAAAAAAAAAAAAAAAACCCAUAUGUACAUAAGUAUAUAUUUAUUUUUUUUCACAUAUAAAAUAAGAACAACAUUCAUGUAUCUUAUAAUUGCAACUGUUGUAUAAAUUUUAACUUUUUUUUUUUUAUCAAUUUUUUCAACAUAUGUUUGUAUUUCUUCACCUGAGGCGAAUAUUGCAAAUGCAUUAUUCUGAAACACUCAUUAAACCAAUACAAUACUUUCCAUACGUCAAUACCAAUUUUUUUAAUAUACUUAAUGAUCUUUUUAAGAAAUGCCUAAUUUACAUGUAUAAGCAUGGAUGUUACUUAUACAAAGCGCUAUAAGUACGAUUGUAUACAUUUCUUUAUAUAUUUAUGUUGUACAAACACAUAUCAUUGUUAUGCAGGAACAUGUUCAAUAUGCAAUACAAAGCGAACAUUGCAUAAACUGUACUUAUGCCUUAUAAACAUCAGCUUAAAACAGGAAUACAUACAUGACAGCAUAACAUUUUCAUACAAAAAUAUGCAUUCAAAAACUGCAUAUUUUCAAAACUUUACAAUCAUGCAUACAGUUGAUAUUGUCAUUGUGACAACACACAAUUAGAAUAUUCCUAACAAUCAUAGUUACUAAUAUGGUUUAGUUUGUGUUACGUACACAGAAAACAAACAAAAAAUGACCAUUCCUUUUAAGAUCUUUUAUUUAAGCUAAAACUUAACGAUGCCCAUUUCGAACAAUGUUUUCAUUUAAUAUCUCAUAAAGUUAACGUAAGCCUUUAUAUAACAAAUGACAUGCAAAAAAUAGUUCAUACAAAAGUACAUGCAUAAGCAAAUGUGUGCUUAUUUACUCACACAUAACACGCAAUGAACAUAUACAGGCACAGUCAUGAAAUCCAGGUGUUCAUAUUUACUACAAAGUAUUGCACUAUUAAAUAUGUACAAAUAUAUUCGAGUUCACACAUACCUUUUACAAAUUAAACAUAUGUUCAAUCAUUUUUUGCACGACUUAUCACUCAUUUCUAUAUUUUGUCAAUUUGUUUUAUCUCUUUCGUUUUUUAUUUUAUUGGCAUUUAUUUUGGUAAGCUCUCGCCCUUCAUUUGUUUUUAUCCCUUUUUUUUUUUUUUUUUUUUUUUUUUUUUUUUUCUUUCGACACAAUUCUAAUAGUUCUAUAAAUACCAAAUGUAUGCAACCAUAACAAUUUAAAAUAAGUAACAAACACAUAACUCAAACAAUUAAACAUUAAUUUUUUUUAUAUGUAAUAA